rnacentral:rRNA from 1 species
GACGAACGCUGGCGGCGUGCUUAACACAUGCAAGUCGAGCGGUAAGGCCCUUUCGGGGGUACGACGAGCGGCGAACGGGUGAGUAACACGUGGGUGACCUGCCCUCAGCUCUGGGAUAAGCCUGGGAAACCGGGUCUAAUACUGGAUAUGACUCCAUGACGCAUGUUGUGGGGUGGGAAGCCUUGUGCGGCUGAGGAUGGGCCCGCGGCCUAUCAGCUUGUUGGUGGGGUGANGGCCUACCAAGGCGACGACGGGUAGCCGGCCUGAGAGGGCGACCGGCCACACUGGGACUGAGACACGGCCCAGACUCCUACGGGAGGCAGCAGUGGGGAAUCUUGCGCAAUGGGCGAAAGCCUGACGCAGCGACGCCGCGUGAGGGAUGACGGCCUGGU